rnacentral:rRNA from 1 species
ACGUAGGGUGCAAGCGUUAAUCGGAAUUACUGGGCGUAAAGCGUGCGCAGGCGGUUUUGUAAGACAGAGGUGAAAUCCCCGGGCUCAACCUGGGAACUGCCUUUGUGACUGCAAGGCUGGAGUGCGGCAGAGGGGGAUGGAAUUCCGCGUGUAGCAGUGAAAUGCGUAGAUAUGCGGAGGAACACCGAUGGCGAAGGCAAUCCCCUGGGCCUGCACUGACGCUCAUGCACGAAAGCGUGGGGAGCAAACAGGA